rnacentral:misc_RNA from 1 species
AAGAAAAAAAAAGUAAAAAAGAAAAAUGAAAACUUAUUAAGUUGAAAACCCAUAAAGGGCUGUUUUUGACCAAAAUUAGAGCAAAUAAAGAAACAAAGAACACUAACUUGCAAGAGAAAAGGACUGAUAGCAAAAUGUUGGGUAGCACUUGCCUUGACCUUGUCCAAAUCAUUAAGAGUCUCUACCAUGAUAAUGGAACUUGAGUGACACUAGUCUGCAUCCGAAGGAGCGAAAGCAAGAAAGUUGUUCAAUUAGAGCAUUGAAUUUCAGAAAUUUCUUCUAAAGUUUUAUGCAUUAUGCCACAUUU